rnacentral:misc_RNA from 1 species
GAUGAAGAACGUAGUGAAAUGCGAUAAGUAAUGUGAAUUGCAGAAUUCAGUGAAUCAUCGAAUCUUUGAACGCACAUUGCGCCCGCCAGCAUUCUGGCGGGCAUGCCUGUUCGAGCGUCAUUUCAACCCUCGACUUCCCUUUGGGGAAGUCGGCGUUGGGGACCGGCCGUAUACCGCCGGCCCCGAAAUGAAGUGGCGGCCCGUCCGCGGCGACCUCUGCGUAGUAAUCCAACUCGCACCGGAACCCCGACGUGGCCACGCCGUAAAACCCCCGACUUCUGAACGUUGACCUCGGAUCAGGUAGGAAUACCCGCUGAACUUAAGCAUAUCAAUAAGCGGAGGA